UUAAAGAAAAACUAUUAGAGGCUAUAAUAAUUGGCUUGUGGCAGCCAAGCGUUCAUAGCGACGUUGGUUUUUGAUCCUUCGAUGUCGGCUCUUCCUAUCAUACUGAAGCAGAAUUCAGUAAGCGUUGGAUUGUUCACCCAUCAAUAGGGAACGUGAGCCGGGUUUAAUGAUGAAAUGUUGUUGCAAUAGUAAUUGAAUAUUGUACGAGAGGAACCGUUCAUUCGGAUAAUUGGUAUUCGGGCCUGCCUGAACAGGCAAUGGCCCAAAGCUAUCACUCGUUGGACUAUGGCUGAACAGUGAGUGAUAUAAAGUGAGGGAAGUGUGGACAGCAAAGUCAAGUGCAGAAAAAAAAGUGGCAUGGAGUGAAAAAAAAAAAAUAAAAAAUAACGAGCGGGGUGGAUUAGGUUACACCUUGCUGCGGAGGGAACAAAAAAAUAAGAGAGGGGGUUAUACAGUGGCAAAUAAGAACGAUCAGAAUGGCUACUCGAUUCAGUCUUUUCCACGCUUUCCCUUCUUC
rnacentral:ncRNA from 1 species